rnacentral:rRNA from 1 species
GUGACCUCAAAUCAGGUAGGAUUACCCGCUGAACUUAAGCAUAUCAAUAAGCGGAGGAAAAGAAACUAACAAGGAUUCCCCUAGUAACUGCGAGUGAAGCGGGAAAAGCUCAAAUUUAAAAUCUGGCAGUCUUUGGCUGUCCGAGUUGUAAUCUAGAGAAGUGCUAUCCGCGCUGGACCGUGUACAAGUCUCCUGGAAUGGAGCGUCAUAGAGGGUGAGAAUCCCGUCUUUGACACGGACUGCCAGGGCUUUGUGAUGUGCUCUCGAAGAGUCGAGUUGUUUGGGAAUGCAGCUCAAAAUGGGUGGUAAAUUCCAUCUAAAGCUAAAUAUUGGCGAGAGACCGAUAGCGAACAAGUACCGUGAGGGAAAGAUGAAAAGAACUUUGGAAAGAGAGUUAAACAGUACGUGAAAUUGCUGAAAGGGAAACGCUUGAAGUCAGUCGCGUCGUCCAGGGAUCAACCUUGCUUUCGCUUGGUGCACUUUCUGGUUGACGGGUCAGCAUCAAUUUUGACCAUUGGAAAAAGAUUAGGGGAAUGUGGCAUCUUAGGAUGUGUUAUAGCCCUUGGUUGCAUACAAUGGUUGGGAUUGAGGAACUCAGCA